rnacentral:rRNA from 1 species
UAACACGUGGAUAACCUGCCUCAAGGCUGGGGAUAACAUUUGGAAACAGAUGCUAAUACCGAAUAAAACUUAGUAUCGCAUGAUAUCAAGUUAAAAGGCGCUACGGCGUCACCUAGAGAUGGAUCCGCGGUGCAUUAGUUAGUUGGUGGGGUAAAGGCUUACCAAGACGAUGAUGCAUAGCCGAGUUGAGAGACUGAUCGGCCACAUUGGGACUGAGACACGGCCCAAACUCCUACGGGAGGCAGCAG